CUGAGAACAAAAAGAAAAGAAAAGGAAAAAGAAAAGCCCAGAAAACCCCUGAGAUCCAAAUAAAGUCAUGGCUGAGCAGUGUGCUGAAUUCACAAGACUCCAAGCGCAGCUUAAGAGCUUUCUGGACUGAAGGCGGCUUGGUGCUUUUCUAGCAGCUUCACAAACACCCAAACACCGUUUGCA
rnacentral:lncRNA from 1 species